GAGCCCGCAGCUGCAGGAGCCCAGGCGCCUGUCGGCUCUGCUGCGGGACUUCCUCGAGUGCAGCCUGGAGCCGGACGAGGAGCGGCGCUUCUCUGCCCAGGAGCUGCUGCAGCACCCAUUUUUGUCAUCAGCCAAGCCUCUCUCCAGCCUGACCCCUCUGAUCACUGCAGCAAAGCAACUGAGGGAGCAGCGCAGGAGGAGAUGAAGCACAGGAGGCCAGCUUUUCGUUAUAGUAGUUAGGACAAGUAGUUAGUAAUGUUAGUUAACACUGUUAGUUAGUUAGAGUAGGUUAGGACAGCCUGUUUGUUAUGGCAGUUAUUUGAAUAAAAUCUCUGUUAAACCUCAA